AUUGAACGCUGGCGGCAUGCCUUACACAUGCAAGUCGAACGGCAGCACGGGGGCAACCCUGGUGGCGAGUGGCGAACGGGUGAGUAACGCAUCGGAAUGUACCCAGUAGUGGGGGAUAACUAGUCGAAAGAUUAGCUAAUACCGCAUACGCACUGAGGUGGAAAGCGGGGGAUCGCAAGACCUCGCGCUAUUGGAGCAGCCGAUGUCCGAUUAGGUAGUUGGUGGGGUAAAGGCCUACCAAGCCUGCGAUCGGUAACUGGUCUGAGAGGACGACCAGUCACACUGGGACUGAGACACGGCCCAGACUCCUACGGGAGGCAGCAGUAAGGAAUAUUGGUCAAUGGAGGAAACUCUGAACCAGCCAUCCCGCGUGAAGGAUGAAGGGGCUCUGCCUUGUAAACUUCUUUUGAAUGGGACGAAAAAAGGGGAUUUAUCCUCGACUGACGGUACCAUUAGAAUAAGCACCGGCUAACUCCGUGCCAGCAGCCGCGGUAAUGUCGUC
rnacentral:rRNA from 1 species